rnacentral:misc_RNA from 1 species
UGGCUCUCGCAUCGAUGAAGAACGCAGCGAAAUGCGAUAAGUAAUGUGAAUUGCAGAAUUCAGUGAAUCAUCGAAUCUUUGAACGCACCUUGCGCUCCUUGGUAUUCCGAGGAGCAUGCCUGUUUGAGUGUCAUUAAAUUCUCAAUCCUUAUGGCUUUUAUAAGCUGUUGGGACUUGGAACUGGGAGUUUGCAGGCCUUAUAAAGGUCAGCUCUCCUGAAAUACAUUAGCGGAACUGUUUGCAGUCCCGUCACUGGUGUGAUAAUUAUCUACACUGUGAUGAUUGCUCUCUAGUUGUUCAGCUGCUAAUUGUCCAUUAUUGGACACUACUUAAUGAACCUCUUGACCUCAAAUCAGGUAGGAUUACCCGCUGA